UGCAAGUCGAGCGGACUGAUGGGAGCUUGCUCCCAUCAGUCAGCGGCGGACGGGUGAGUAACACGUGGGUAACCUGCCUGUAAGACUGGGAUAACUCCGGGAAACCGGGGCUAAUACCGGAUAACUCAUUUCCUCGCAUGAGGAAAUGUUGAAAGGUGGCUUUUAGCUAUCACUUACAGAUGGACCCGCGGCGCAUUAGCUAGUUGGUGAGGUAACGGCUCACCAAGGCGACGAUGCGUAGCCGACCUGAGAGGGUGAUCGGCCACACUGGGACUGAGACACGGCCCAGACUCCUACGGGAGGCAGCAGUAGGGAAUCUUCCGCAAUGGACGAAAGUCUGACGGAGCAACGCCGCGUGAGUGAUGAAGGUUUUCGGAUCGUAAAACUCUGUUGUUAGGGAAGAACAAGUACCGUUCGAAUAGGGCGGUACCUUGACGGUACCUAACCAGAAAGCCACGGCUAACUACGUGCCAGCAGCCGCGGUAAUACGUAGGUGGCAAGCGUUGUCCGGAAUUAUUGGGCGUAAAGCGCGCGCAGGUGGUUUCUUAAGUCUGAUGUGAAAGCCCACGGCUCAACCGUGGAGGGUCAUUGGAAACUGGGGAACUUGAGUGCAGAAGAGGAAAGUGGAAUUCCAAGUGUAGCGGUGAAAUGCGUAGAUAUUUGGAGGAACACCAGUGGCGAAGGCGACUUUCUGGUCUGUAACUGACACUGAGGCGCG
rnacentral:rRNA from 1 species